rnacentral:piRNA from 1 species
UCCCAUGGAGAACCCCACAUCCCAGGUCUGU